GGGGUUGUGGCUCAGCUGUAGAGCACUUGCCUACCACUUGCAAGAUGCUAGUUUCGAUCCUCAGCACCA
rnacentral:tRNA from 1 species